GACGAACGCUGGCGGCGUGCUUAACACAUGCAAGUCGAACGAAGUGGCGAACGGGUGAGUAACGCGUAAUCAACCUGCCCUUCGGAGGGGGACAACAGUUGGAAACGACUUCUAAUACCGCAUACUGCAGGAGAGGAUUGAGGCUGAUUAGCUAGUGGGGGGGGUAACGGCCCCACAAGGCGAGGAUCAGUAGCCGGUCUGAGAGGGUGGACCGCCAAAGUGGGACUGAGACACGGCCCAGACUCCUACGGGAGGCAGCAGGGGGGAAACUUCCGCAAUGGAUGAAAGUCUGAAGGAGCAACGCCGCGGGAGUGAUGAAGGGCUUCGGGUUGUAAAGCUCUGUUAAUCGGGACGCGGUACCGGAAUAGAAAGCCACGGCUAACUACGUGCCAGCAGCCGCGGUAAUUC
rnacentral:rRNA from 1 species